CAAUAGCGUAUAUUAAAGUUGUUGCAGUUAAAAAGCUCGUAGUUGGAUUUGUGGUGUACUUCGGCGGCCCGUCACUAUGUGAUGGAGCUUGCUGAAGUCGCCAUCCUUGGGUGGAUCCUGUGUGGCAUUAAGUUGUCGUGCAGGGGAUGCCCAUCGUUUACUGUGAAAAAAUUAGAGUGUUCGAAGCAGGCUUAUGCCGUUGAAUAUAUUAGCAUGGAAUAAUAAGAUAGGACCUUGGUACUAUUUUGUUGGUUUGCGCACCAAGGUAAUGAUUAAUAGGGACAGUUGGGGGUAUUCGUAUUUCAUUGUCAGAGGUGAAAUUCUUGGAUUUUUGAAAGACGAACUACUGCGAAAGCAUUUACCAAGGAUGUUUUCAUUA
rnacentral:rRNA from 1 species